UACGGAAGGCAGCAGUGGGGAAUCUUGCGCAAUGGGCGAAAGCCUGACGCAGCCAUGCCGCGUGAAUGAUGAAGGUCUUAGGAUUGUAAAAUUCUUUCACCGGGGACGAUAAUGACGGUACCCGGAGAAGAAGCCCCGGCUAACUUCGUGCCAGCAGCCGCGGUAAUACGAAGGGGCUAGCGUUGCUCGGAAUUACUGGGCGUAAAGGGAGCGUAGGCGGACAUUUAAGUCAGGGGUGAAAUCCCGGGGCUCAACCUCGGAAUUGCCUUUGAUACUGGGUGUCUUGAGUAUGAGAGAGGUAUGUGGAACUCCGAGUGUAGAGGUGAAAUUCGUAGAUAUUCGGAAGAACACCAGUGGCGAAGGCGACAUACUGGCUCAUUACUGACGCUGAGGCUCGAAAGCGUGGGGAGCAAACAGGGAUUAGAUACC
rnacentral:rRNA from 1 species